rnacentral:lncRNA from 1 species
AUUUCCUCCUCGGUCCCACCCUGGUCCAUGAGUGUCGUGAGCCAGUGCCUGGCUGCCUCGGCAGAGAGCUGGGGUCGCCAGAGUGACCGCCCUCGUCCGUAGCACGGUACCAGCACGUCUCUGACGGCCAAAGUGCAGGUGCCAGGUGCCGGCCGCGAUGCUGGGAAGAUGCUGUGGCUGUCUCUCCACGAACCAAGCGACCCACAGGUCCACACCAGCACUUCUGUGGUGUCAGCACCAGUGUCGCCUGAGCCUCCCUCUCAGGCUCUUCCUGAUUUUUAUUUCCCUUUGGAUGGCAGAGUCCCUGAGUCCCCCACAGGCCAGUGACGUUCCCCGUCACCUGUGACUUCUGGCAGACGCAGAGGAAACGAGCGGCACUGUUAGGGCCUUUGUGAGCUGCAUGCAUCCCCGCCCCACCCACCUCCUGCUGUGGCCGCCCUGAUGGGCGCUGAGAUAGGGGAUGUGCCACCAGCACUGUCGCCACGUCCCAUCUCCCUCCCAGGUUCUGGUGGGGCGUGCGCUGACGUCACGGAACUGCCCGGGCUUCCCUCUGCCAUGGGCUGGAGCGCCCAGAGCCCAGAUAAGCCCCACGUGUUUCUGCAAAGGCCCCGGCCUGUCUCAGGGCGGCUUCCUGGAGCAAUUAGUAGUGUGCAUUUCAUCACCCCACUCCCUUCCCCAAAUUCCCUUUCAACAACCCCCGACUAUUUUUAAGAAUAACAAUAAUAAAACACAGAUGGAGAACCAGGAAUUGUGUCAUGGGAACUGAUAACAGGACACACUGGCACUGAGCUCCAGGAGGAACCCUGGCUGCAAACACACACCCGAGGCUGGCUCGCCCAAGGCUCUGCGGGGCCAGAGACCCAGGCAAGCAAAGGUGCCCCACAUGCCCGGCCCCGCCAGCAGCACCUCCUGACAUGGCGCCCACAGAAGGUCCCGACUCUGUCCCGUGUGGGAGCUCAGCCUCUGUAAAGACACAGGCACGCGUGGGCUCCCCGCAGGCCCUGCUCAGAGCCACGCUGAUCCUGGGCCCUGCCCAAGACGGGACCUGGCACUCAGCCACAGGACGCAGAGCCAGGCUCUCUGCAGAGGGCUCCGCCCCCAGUGUGGAAGGCACCAGAAGGAGCCCGGGCUCCCGCCCCUCCGUGUGACUCUUCACAAACACUAAGGAGGAUAACGACAGGGCCCAGGUGCUCGCAGGCUGCUCCCGGACUGGCACGCAGGACCUGACUUGUCCCAGAGUGCGCACGGCAGCUCCUCACCAGAGGCACUUUCCGUGACACUCGGGCGGCGCUGCGGGGCCUCGGCACAACGCAGAGAGAAAGACGGCUCUGUUCUGUGUGGGGGUCGCACGUCCCCACCCAAAUGCCCUAGGCUGCUGGUUGCUCAGCGGCCUCCCGCCCACUGUGCUGCUGAGUGCAGCGGCCCCCAGGAGCUCCGUGCCCUGCUGUGCUUGGCAUCUGUGGCACGAGACAGGGAUGCCCCAGAAUUCGAGACCAGUUAACUCCUUUCCCACUGCGCUGGUUCAGCCUUGCUACAAAAGACGUCUGCAAAGAGGCAGGAGGAGCCACCUGCCCAGGAGGAAGACACGGUGGGGGUUCAGGUAGCUCAGAACAGGCCCCACCUGUGGGGGAAGGGAGGCUGCCCAAUGCAUGAAGAGACUGGGCUCAGGUCCUCAUCCAACCCUGGCCAGCGGAGCUCCAAAAGAAAGGACUCCAGUCAGAAUAGUGAUUGUGGGGACGAAAGAGGCCUAAAUGAUCAACACAGGGGAAAGGUGGGGACACUACAAAGAAAUAAUGAAGCCAUGAGUGGACCCUGAAGGGUAACAGCGACAGGGACAGGAGGGAGGCCUGAGAGGUAACGACGGUGGGACGUGGGGAGGACUGAGGGGUAACGACGGUGGGACGUGGGGAGGCCUGAGGGGUAACAACGGUGGGACGUGGGGAGGACUGAGGGGUAACGACGGUGGGACGUGGGGAGGACUGAGAGGUAACGACGGUGGGACGUGGGGAGGACUGAGGGGUAACGACGGUGGGACGUGGGGAGGCCUGAGGGGUAACGACGGUGGGACGUGGGGAGGACUGAGGGGUAACGACGGUGGGACGUGGGGAGGACUGAGAGGUAACGACGGUGGGACGUGGGGAGGACUGAGGGGUAACGACGGUGGGACGUGGGGAGGACUGAGGGGUAACGACGGUGGGACGUGGGGAGGACUGAGGGGUAACGACGGUGGGACGUGGGGAGGACUGAGGGGUAACGACGGUGGGACGUGGGGAGGACUGAGGGGUAACGACGGUGGGACGUGGGGAGGCCUGAGGGGUAACGACGGUGGGACGUGGGGAGGACUGAGGGGUAACGACGGUGGGACGUGGGGAGGCCUGAGGGGUAGUAAUGAUGGGAUGUGGGGAGGCGUGAGGGGACAGGAUGGGUGAUGGUGACAGUGACAGGGUGGGGACGGCGUCUGAGGUCUCCAUCGUGUUCGUGGGACAGGCCGCCUGCAUGGCCGCCGAGAGCCGUCUUGUUCCCCGCGGGCACAGGAGGGCGCGUCGCUGAGGGUGAAAGGGAAGCGGCAUGGCCAUGGGGCUUCCCCUUGCUGCCCACGAGCACCUGAGCCUCGGUGGGAGAGCCCGUCGGGGGGCGGAAAGUUCCUCGGUGUGUCCCCCGGCCACCCAGGUUCCCGUCGGGGGCCACCACAGCCUCCUUUGCUCUCUCUGCCUGGGUCUGCGGCUGCUGAGCUCUCGGGAGGGGAGGAGGGCCGACCUCAAGAGAGCUGUCGAGGCCUAAGGAGCCAGCGGCAGCCUGCACCUCACUCCUGCGGGCUGGCGGUGCGUGUGGGCCGACCCCGUCCCAGCGCCGGGUCAAGUGUGUUCCACAAGGUCUCAGACGCUGCAGGGACGCGUGGCCGGGACCAGACACAGCCCAGGCACCCUCCAGGGCCUUCCCGCUGCCCCAUGGCAGCAGCUGACAGAGAGCGGGAUGGACAACCCUGACACCACUCAGCAGAGGACAGCACAGCAACCGAACCGCAGAGGAGGCUGUACCGCCCACCCAUCCACACCGCGGACGAGAGCCGUACGUGGAGCCGUGCUCGCCCCGCAGACACGGCCUGUGCCGUAGCCCUGAGAGGAAAGCCACGGCUUCCCCUUUCACAGGUAGCAUGUGACCCUCACGGCGUGUGGGAGACCUGAAAGAGGAAACUUACUUUGCCUAACGUCAGAUGUCCCCGCAACAGGAUGUGGUGAGCUGUUAUACCACAAUUUAAUUUAAUAAGGAGGGCUUUUUUUUCCCUUAUAUUAGAUUUUUCUCUAAAAUACUCCUCAGGUGGAAACUAUUGUUUUUUCCUAAAACUCGACUGUGGCGUUUUGAAUCCUGGCUGCAGGCUGAGAGCCUCCCUCGAGGCCACAUCCACACACCCACACUCAUACCCACCUCUCUAUACACAUCUGGAAUUGAGUGAAGGAGGAAAUCAGUACAUUUUUAAAUAUAAAAACUACCAAGUACAAGGGCAGGCAUGGCUUUCACUGCCUCACCUGUGAAUCUUAUCUGUGCCCUUGCUGGGGCCACGCAAGCUCUCACUAGCUGUGCGUAAACAAGCCGUAGGCGAGACGCCUUUCUCAGUCAAGUAUUCGUACCUUCACAUAACCAGUUUCUUCUUUUUGAUCAUCAUUUUGAAAGAAAGUUGACAUUUAAACUUCACCCUGUAGUGAGCUACCCAAAGUUCACCUCUUAAGUUUCACGCAGGAGUUUUGUUUCUCUAUGCUGGGAAUGAUGAGGGCCAGAACGGAGCUGCCAGGGCCUGAACGCUGUUUGAUAUAUUUUGCCCCCUUGCUGCCUGGCUUGGAAGCAACAUUUUUCUGCAUUUCUGAAUGCCCGGUUUCUGAAAGCAAUUAAGGAUCUUACAUUUUAAGGAAUGAACAAACUACCAUUUCCCCAGCAGUUAUGCAGCCCUGCCUGGCCCUUUGUGCACCUGCUUGCUCCUUGCAACAGCCCCGGGAGCGGCAAAGGCAGUACUUACUAGGAAAGUCAUGGAAAGCUGGAUGGGCCUACUGGCUGGUGCCUGGGGGACGACUCAGACCCUGGGACAGGAGGGUUCCCACCCUGCCCAGCCAGCUCCUGGCCCCAGGAGUCCGUCCUCUCUCCUCCAAAUCUGGCCCCCGUCCCUUCCCUCUCUGGUCCUCCCUGUUUCACCUGCAGGGUGCUCAGUGCCCGGAACUUGGCGUAUCUGAGGUGGCCAGAGGCGCCAGCGGAGCAGGAUGUCGGAGCUGCCACUCGCCUUCCACUGUGCUGUGAGAGCCACCGGGACACGUCAGCAUCUCCCCUGUUCUGAAAUCAACACCGAGACACACCGAGUCCCUCCGGAGGCAUCUGCAGAGGCAGCAACGCCACGCGAGGGCUGCCGACUCUCCAGCUCCAACAUUUCGUCCGGACCUCCCGGCAGCGCAGCGGGGGAUCCCCUCCCGUGAGGGGCCCGGAGGGGCUUCGAGAAGGCUGUCGCCUGAUGGGCUCCGUCAAGUUUCCCCCUGCAGACCCUCAUUCUACCAGUUUUGAUUCCAUUUUAAAUCUGACUUCCAAGUGGCACCCCUGCCGACGGUCAAAACGCCCCCUCUCCUGGUGUGUGCCCUCCAUCCCCGCUUCCUGGGGGCAGCCGGUUUCUUGCUGUCUGGACAACAGAGCUCUGCCAAUGCCACUUAUCUCGCCCGUCCAGGACUUUAUCACCAACUGUCCUACUUCCGACUCCAGCAAAGGAGCGACAGCGAGCACGUCUGUGCUUGGCUGUGACUAACAGGGCCUCUGAAUAAAGUGAAAAUAAUCCCACUUUAAGCUGCAAGAGGAAAGACCCACAGAAGGAAAGUCCUUCACGGACGGAGACCCAGGAUCCUGAAAUGCAGUGCGUCCCUUCAACGUUCUGAGAAUAAAAAUUUAAACAUGCAAGCCCCGGGAGGAAAAGCAAUUCCUAAAACAUGGCAGAAACAACAUAAAAAAAAUCUUGCUGUUGUUUUAAAAACUGACCUAAGACCAGGCAUGGUGGCUCACACCUGUAAUCCCAGCACUUUGGGAAGCCAAGGCGGGAGGAUCACUUGAGGCCAAAAGUUCAAGACCAGCCUGGGCAAUGUAGUGAGACCACCCCCCAUCUCUACAAACAAAUGUAAAAAUUAGCCAGACAUGGUGGUGUGCACCUGUGGUCCCAGCUACUUGGGAGGCUGAGGUGGGAGGAUGGCUUGAGCCCAGGAGGUUGAGGCUGCAGUGAGCUGAGAUUGUACCACUGCAUUCCAGCCUGGGUGACAGAGCAAGACCCUGUCUCAGGAAAAAAAAUAAAAAAAUAAAAAAUAAAUAGCCUGAUCUCCUGUUUUCCAGGAAAGCCCGAGCCUUGUAAGGGUUUUUCAGAUGGUAGUGAAACAACUUGGAAGUCAGCAAUUCCUAAGGAUUUUCCAAAUCUUCUCAGACUAAAAUUCUCCCACUUUCCUGCUGCCUUGUUCAAACCAUGGUUCGGAGAUCUGUGAGCAGCCUGCCAGCCGCCGGAGGCUCUGAAGCCUUUCUGAGGCGAGGUCUUUGCACCUGAACGCUCUGGUAGAACAAGGUUUAGCAAAAGGGAGCCUGGAAGGGCCCAUCCUCACCUUCUGCCCAGUCCUGCAGGGCUCAGGACACAUCCUGGGGGCUAAUCUGUGGGAAGAGGUUUGACUGAGACCCCGUUCUGCUCUGUGAAUGGGCGGACUCUUCAGCAUCUCACACGGAGAAACAACUUCCUCCUGGAUCGGAGCCCAAGUCAGGGAUAAGGUGCCUCCUGCCUGCACCGUGGGCACUGGCCGCCUUGUUACAGAAUCAACGGCCGUCCACUGAGGGACACCGGGUGCCAGGGGUCCUAACACCCCUCCAGAGCACCCGGCACAGCUCUCCUUGGAGCUGGGUGCUACCCUUAGUCUCGUUUUGAAGACAGGACUGGGCGGUCAGGUCAGCCCAUCCUCACACUGCGGUGAGUAGCGGGGGCAGGAGCAGCCUUGCUGUGGGCCACGCCCUGGGCAAUGAGCGGUGGCUCCUUGGGGGAUCUCAGAUUUUUCCAAGUCUGUUUUCUAUAUGGCUGAACGAUGUGACAAAACACUUGUCAAGGACACCCUCUCAGGUGCUCUGAUCUGCAUCUUUCACGAGCGAGAGGGGGGGUGCCAGGCACUUCCUGGUGGACCUUCAGUUACCGCCCAUCAGAACACAAGCAGGCAGCGCGAAACAUGCUGGGCCCGGGGGCUCCAUCGCCCUUUACACUGCCACACUCAGCUUCCACAUGUUCUACUGUGGGCGUGUGCCCCUCCUUCAUGUUUCUGGGGUUCAUGGGGACAUUAGUGUUGUCCUUCCCUUUCUGUCUCAAAGAAUUGACUGUGCCUGUCAUUGGACGCAGCGGCUGCCAUGAAUGUCGACCGGGAAAGCGAUGGGAAAAGCUGUUCAGACACAGCUGAGCUGCCUCUACCUGGUCACCUGCACGCCAGGCCCAUGCAGUCUGCUCCAUCCCUGUCCCUGGCAGAGCCCAUCUGGGAGUGGUGGUGACUGUGCCAGCUGGAGACCCACUGAGCACCAGGGUGCAGCACAGACAACGACGCCCUCAGGCUGCGUGCAGUGAAGAGCCGGGAGAGGCAGCGCUAGAAUUGUUUUUAGGAACUGGAUUUGGGCUUAAAGAAUAAACAAUGUGGUUCAGCCACGCUAACCCAAAUACACUGUUUAAUCCUUGCAGUUAAAAAGUUUAAGUAGCACAGAUGAAGACUAUAACUUGCAUAAACGAUUUUUGUGUCAAUUUUUAAAAAGCAUAUUUGUUCAUAUAGGUACCACUAACUUAAUUGCACAAAACACAUUUAAAAGCAUCUUCCCUCUUUUUCAAUGGUUAUGUUAGUUCCAAUCAACAACCAAUUGUGCUAUGAUUAUUCAAGUCUAAGAGUAUUUAUCUAUGACCGCUAAACAAACCAGACAGUUUGGCAAGGACACAGGCCUCAGAAUUAUCAGACAUCAGAACGUCCUGCAGGACUGCUCCUUCUUUAGAGUUGUCAUUUUCCUUUACACUAAAGCAAUACAGGAAACAAAAAAGGCCGUCGUGAUGCCACCCACGGCCUACGGGGGCAUGUUCCUAUUGCCUCUUCCUGUCGCAGCGUCCCCAUCCGCCUCACUUUCCGUCCAGCAGGCUCCCUUCUAAGGCCCACCGUCCCACUGGACACAGCGUAAUUAAACCUGCAGCAGGAACGCAAUUGUCCCCAGCUUACUCCACCAUCCUCUGAGGGACAGAAAAGUGCAUAUUCUUCAGAGGACAAGUCAUCAAAAAUAACUUUUUAAAAAGAGCAAAACAAAACAGGAAAGACAUUCUCCUCCAUUCCUAUAACUAAGAGAUAAUUAUAAAAAGUAUUUGCUAACCUUCCCAGAAAAUACACCUUUAGCUAAAGUUAGUCUUGUAACCUAAGAGGGUAAUAAUUUGGGUAGGACACAGAUAGAACCAGAAAUAUCUCAGGCCAAAUCCUAUUCUUAAAUAACUAACUUCUAAGAUGUCUCCCAAUGACAUUUGCUGUACUCAGCUUUGACAAUAUCUAAUAAUUCUUGGAGUAAGAACGCCAUUUGAUGGUGGUUGAAAACCUUAAUGAACAUAUGGAUUUUCAUGGCUGUGGCGUUCAUUACAAAGGGGCAUGAUAGAUGUGUUUACUGACUGUUUUAUGGUUUCAUUGAAUUGCUGAAUACACAGCUUUCAAUUUUUCCAUCUGACAUACACAUUUAGACUUGUAUGGCUCUCAUUUAAGGUAUUACAGUAGAUAUGAGCUAAGUACAUAAAAAUAUGGUUAAAGCCACAAAUUAGAGAUCAGAAAAUAGGAAGCGAAGAGGAAAACGCUUUUGUUCCACUGUACGUAUAUCGUGUCUGAUGCAGAGGUGGCUUCGGUGUGUGCGCCAAGGUAACUGAAGAGGCCGCCUCUCAUGUGGGUUUUUUAAUUUUUUGAGAAGAAGCAACCUCUUAGAAAGUCUACCAUAAAUGUUUCCUCCUUCACAAGCAAAUAUCUGGAUUUUCCAUAACCUCCUACAUGAAGCCUCCACCACGGCCUCCUCGGUCCACCCUAAACUGUCCGACACUGCUGGGCGCCCGGCGCUCGGCUGAGAAACGGGGUAAGAACAAGGGCGGUUCUGCCACUCCACAGUCGAGGAGCCACCACAUUCUGAAAACGCAGGGUCGCAGCGUCUCUAGAACCCUUCUUUACGAUUCUGCAUUUUUCAAAGAUGCUUUGUAAAGCAGUGGAAAAUAACAGCUUCUCAAGUUUCAUUAAAAAGUAAGUUCUCAAGUCCAGGACCUAUUUCAGCCUUCACUUAUUUUUAUCUUUUUCAUCGCAAUAAGCCACCGCCACAGGGCCUGCUAUUUUUGGAAGGAGAGGACGGGACAACGGAGGGACGGCCUGACAAGUCACAGUUUUCAUAAAACAAGCCCCUCAUCUGGACGCAGCUGGUGGUGGGGAGCGGGACCGCCACUCGGGACGUCAGCCAUUAAGACAGAAUAAUUUUCCUACCUUAACUGCCUGCUUCCUUAUUUAGCCUGAAUGUUGCACAGAAUGCAAACGCCGUGUGGAAACUGCCAGGGUUCAGGGUACAGGACCACGUGCCUGGGAGAUUCCGACAGGCUGUCCUUCCGCCCCCCACCGAGACGGCAUGCGGGCGCGUGUUUCCACGGAUCUAGUCCGUCUUAUCUGCACCAAACUGCCAUUCCAGUCACUCACUGGGAUCAUUAAACCACCACUUGCAGUUUUCCAGGGCUUUCUUUGUUCUACUAGGAAGUAUAUGCCCCCAAAUUAUGAAAUUCCAUUUCAAACAGAAUUAACAGAAUUUAAAAAAUAAAAAUGUUA